rfam:Brassica rapa chromosome A7, whole genome shotgun sequence.
AGUCCCUUCGGGAUCAUCCGAUAAAAUUGAAAUGAUAUACAGAAGAUUAGCAUGGUUCCUGCGCAAGGAUGACACGUACAAAUCGAGAAAUAGUCAAAAUUUCU